rnacentral:rRNA from 1 species
GUCGGUAAAACUCGUGCCAGCCACCGCGGUUAUACGAGAGGCCCAAGUUGACGUCACACGGCGUAAAGAGUGGUUAAUGAAUUACUACACUAAAGUCGAACACCUUCCAGGCUGUUAUACGCUCCUGAAGGCAGGAAGAUCUGCCACGAAAGUGACUUUAAUAUACAUGACCCCACGAAAACUAGGAAACAAACUGGGAUUAGAUACCCCACUAUG